rnacentral:rRNA from 1 species
GAUGAACGCUGGCGGCGUGCCUAACACAUGCAAGUCGAGCGAUCCUCUUCGGAGAAGAGCGGCGGACGGGUGAGUAACGCGUGGGUAACCUGCCCUGUACACACGGAUAACAUACCGAAAGGUAUGCUAAUACGGGAUAAUAUGUUUUGACCGCAUGGUCGAAAUAUCAAAGCUCCGGCGGUACAGGAUGGACCCGCGUCUGAUUAGCUAGUUGGUGAGGUAAUGGCUUACCAAGGCGACGAUCAGUAGCCGACCUGAGAGGGUGAUCGGCCACAUUGGAAUUGAGACACGGUCCAAACUCCUACGGGAGGCAGCAGUGGGGAAUAUUGCACAAUGGGCGAAAGCCUGAUGCAGCAACGCCGCGUGAGCGAUGAAGGCCUUCGGGUCGUAAAGCUCUGUCCUCAAGGAAGAUAAUGACGGUACUUGAGGAGGAAGCCCCGGCUAACUACGUGCCAGCCGCCGCGGUAA